rnacentral:rRNA from 1 species
AACGAACGAUGGCGGCAGGCCUAACACAUGCAAGUCGAGCGAGGACUUCGGUCCUAGCGGCGGACGGGUGAGUAACGCGUGGGAACGUGCCCUUUGCUUCGGAAUAGCCCUGGGAAACUGGGAGUAAUACCGGAUGAGCCCUUUGGGGGAAAGAUUUAUCGGCGAAGGAUCGGCCCGCGUUGGAUUAGGUAGUUGGUGGGGUAAUGGCCUACCAAGCCGACGAUCCAUAGCUGGUUUGAGAGGAUGAUCAGCCACACUGGGACUGAGACACGGCCCAGACUCCUACGGGAAGCAGCAGUGGGGAAUCUUAGACAAUGGGGGAAACCCUGAUCUAGCCAUGCCGCGUGAGCGAUGAAGGCCUUAGGGUUGUAAAGCUCUUUCAGCUGGGAAGAUAAUGACGGUACCAGCAGAAGAAGCCCCGGCUAACUCCGUG